UCCGUCCUCGUCAUGGGGUGAUUGGGACACUCAAUGAGCGUGUAGCGAGAGUAUCCCUGCUGACACCAUAUCAACACACUCGCACCGCCCGGAUCACUGACCCGGAUAACGGUGCAAUUUUUGGAAAC